AUGUUCAGGCAUGCGUUACAAGCUGUUGCAUUCCUCAGCGAGGAGAAGAUCGCCGCCAAAGUGGAGCACUUGAAGAAGACGUUCAGGUGGUCUGAUGCCGAGGUGGGCAUUGCUUUGUCCAAGCUUGCGCCUGUGCUGACGAGGUCUAACCAGAUGCUGGAGAGCAAGUCAGAGUUCCUCAUUUCCGAGGUGGGGUUUGAGCCAGCAUACAUUGCUCAUCAUCCGGCAUUGCUCACGUACAGCCUGGAGGGCCGGAUCAUACCCCGGUACUAUGUUGUAAAGUUUCUUAAGGAAAAUGGACUGCUGGAUCACAACCGGAGCUACUAUACUGCAUUCAUUGUGAUGGAGAAAGUAUUCGUGGAGAAGUACAUAUGCCCUCACAAGGAAGUUGCACCAUACCUUGCUGAAGACUAUGAUGCCGCUUGCAGAGGGGAAGUGCCGACUAGAUUCAAAUUUACAUGA
rnacentral:rRNA from 1 species